GACGAACGCUGGCGGCGUGCUUAACACAUGCAAGUCGAACGGAAAGGCCCUGCUUUUGUGGGGUGCUCGAGUGGCGAACGGGUGAGUAACAAGUGAGUAACCUGCCCUUGCCUUUGGGAUAACUUCAGGAAACUGGGGCUAAUACCGGAUAGGAGCUCCUGCUGCAUGGUGGGGGUUGGAAAGUUUCGGCGGUUGGGGAUGGACUCGCGGCUUAUCAGCUUGUUGGUGGGGUAGUGGCUUACCAAGGCUUUGACGGGUAGCCGGCCUGAGAGGGUGACCGGCCACAUUGGGACUGAGAUACGGCCCAGACUCCUACGGGAGGCAGCAGUGGGGAAUAUUGCACAAUGGGCGGAAGCCUGAUGCAGCAACGCCGCGUGCGGGAUGACGGCCUUCGGGUUGUAAACCGCUUUCGCCUGUGACGAAGCGUGAGUGACGGUAAUGGGUAAAGAAGCACCGGCUAACUACGUG
rnacentral:rRNA from 1 species